ensembl:snoRNA
UGUACUGUCUUGAGUGUCUGUGCUCAUCAGUUCCCUCCUGCUGGUGUGUUCAAAAGGCAGUGCAGUAGAAAUUCAAUAUCUGGCAUUGUUGGUUUUUUUGACUUUGUGCUUGUUAAAACUGGCAUUUCUAUUGACGGAA